rnacentral:lncRNA from 1 species
GGCUAGUAUUGGAGAGAAACAAUGUAGAAGUGAUAAACCGAAUUUAUGAUUUCUACAGGUUCUAGUCUUCUGAGGAGGUGUCAGCUAAGCUGAAAUUGGAGAAAGUUUUAAUCAUAUAUGCAACAACAGGAGGGGAAUUACAGACAGAGAGCCUCUUGAAAACCCAACAGGGAUGUCGACAUGCUAAGGAAGUGGAAAGGAAGAGUUCUGUGUGCUCUGUGUCCUCAAGCACAGCCCUAUGCCAGCUUUUAUUAAGCACUGCCAAACUCUGGAGCGUGUCACUGGAGAGGACUGGCUUCCACCCCUGGGGACUUGAGGGUUUCGCAGGCUUGUGCCAUGAACUCUGUGACAUUCUUCAACUCAGGCAGGUACCUGCUCUCCUUUGUGCUUGUCACUCAGGGGGCUCACGGGUGCCACCAGGCUGAGAGACUGCACUCACAAGAACUCAGAUUCAGGCUCAGAGCCCCUUCCCGGGCUCUGUCAUGUAUGACUGGUCCCCAGGACUGCUUCCAAGAUUCUCUGGCCGUGUUCUCUUCUGGGUCAGAAAGCUGCCUCUGAGAAUCGGGGCAGGGUUCACGGCCCAGUUCUUCCUCGAUGAAACGUGACUACCAGCUUCUGUAGUCUUGAACGUGCACUGGGGGUUUCCUGGUGUCAACGACUCGUCCCACUGCUGACAGGAAAAGAAGCCCAGGAAAGGAUGUGGUCAGCCCAGCUGGAGACGAGGUUGCCCAGAAAUGCCAGAUGCUCCUCUUCCAGGGCCUUCCAGCAGCCAGACCAUGGACUCCAGCCAGAGUCCGAGGGGGCCUGGAGCUGCAGCUGCUCGGAGGGGCCUGCAGGGCCCAAGGCCUGUUCCUCACAUCAUCAUGGGGAACCACCAGCCCAUGGCUUGGACUGGCAAGUGGACAGGCUGGAAAUCUGAAUCAGAGUUGAGUUUACAGUCUUGAGUCUGAAAUCUAUAGAGCAAUCUGGCAGGAUUGUAACCGGAACAAGAUUUCUAGGUUACAGUCUUUAAACUUCUUUUUCCUAUUUUUCAUGUGUAGUUUUACUUCUGUGUAUUGGAGAUGAGGCAGAUUUUCUAAAAAAGAUCAAGAAUACACUCUAUCACAAAAAAGUACAGGUAGAGGAAACUGGGAGAAAAGACCCUCCUUUUCAGGGAUUGACAGAGGCUUACAAUGCAGAGGGGCCACCUGCAGAGGGACUCAGAAAGAUCAAAGGGAGAGAUCAGUGCUCUCCCACUGACCCAAUGCUGAAAAUGUCAGUGAGGGCAGGCCCCAGGGCCUGCACACAGAGUCUCUAGAAUGCAGAGCUCUGCCUCCUGAAGCCAGAGAGGAUGACUUCCAUUUUCAAUCUUGAGGGUUCCUGCAUGCUGAAGAAUAAAGCCGUCUUAAGUUUAAUUAGGUCCCA